rnacentral:rRNA from 1 species
AGGGUUUGAUCAUGGCUCAGAACGUACGCUGGCGGCACGCCUAACACAUGCAAGUCGAACGAAGUAGUAAUACUUAGUGGCAGACGGGUGAGUAACAUGUAGGUAUCUGCCCUUUGGCCUGGAAUAACACGAGGAAACUUGUGCUAAUACCGGAUAAGUCUUUACGGAGAAAGCUUUAUGCACCAUUGGAUGAGCCUGCACUUGAUUAGUUAGUUGGUAGGGUAAUAGCCUACCAAGACUUUGAUCAAUAGCUGAUUUGAGAGGAUGAUCAGCCACAUUGGGACUGAGACACGGCCCAAACUCCUACGGGAGGCAGCAGUGGGGAAUCUUGCACAAUGGAGGAAACUCUGAUGCAGCGAUGCCGCGUGAGUGAAGAAGGCCCUUGGGUUGUAAAGCUCUUUCGUCGGGGAAGAAAAUGACUGUACCCGAAUAAGAAGGUCCGGCUAACUUCGUGCCAGCCGCCGCGGUAAUUC